UACGUAGGGUGCGAGCGUUGUCCGGAAUUAUUGGGCGUAAAGAGCUCGUAGGCGGUGUGUCGCGUCGGCCGUGAAAACCUGCAGCUUAACUGUGGGCUUGCGGUCGAUACGGGCAGGCUCGAGUUCGGUAGGGGAGACUGGAAUUCCUGGUGUAGCGGUGAAAUGCGCAGAUAUCAGGAGGAACACCGGUGGCGAAGGCGGUUCUCUGGGCAUUACCUGACGCUGAGGAGCGAAAGUGUGGGGAGCGAACAGG
rnacentral:rRNA from 1 species